rnacentral:rRNA from 1 species
UACGUAGGGGGCAAGCGUUGUCCGGAUUUAUUGGGCGUAAAGAGCGUGUAGGCGGCCUGACAGGUCUGCUGUGAAAACUCGAGGCUCAACCUCGAGAUGUCGGCGGAAACCGUGUGGCUAGAGUCCGGAAGAGGAGAGUGGAAUUCCUGGUGUAGCGGUGAAAUGCGCAGAUAUCAGGAAGAACACCAAUGGCGAAGGCAGCUCUCUGGGACGGUACUGACGCUGAGACGCGAAAAGCGUGGGGAGCGAACAGG